CUGAUGUUUAAAAAGGCCUAAAGGAAAGAGGACUGGCACUUCUGUUACAAUGUUUUAAGGCAUUCAAGUGCUGCGACUGCUGUGGUAGGAAGAGGUGGGACUGACCGAAAGCAACCAACUUGUGGCAUGCCAUCUCUUGGUUAAUAUGGCCUGUGGAGGGACCCCACCUCUUGCUUAUUUACUGGUGCCAUAAAUGUUGCUGAGGUUGCAUGUCUGGUUGGACUUGAUGCAUGGCAUUUGCAUGACACCUAACAGCCUAGCUCUGGAUGUGUCACUGAGCAAACAUGGCCUACUCAGCAAAUACUAACGGCAGUGCUACAGGUAACUAAUUGGGAACGCUUUUCCCCCUUUGGAUUAUUAAUUUUUUUUAAAAAAACUUAUUUCUUAAAUUGUAAAAGUAGCACAAAAGGGAAGUAGCUGCAGUUAAACUAAAUACUGAAAACUAAUUUCCUGGUAGAUCAGAGCCUGUCUGUUCCCCCACUACCAUCCCUGAUAACCUUUUACAUAUCUGAAGUGUGGAAAGUUGUUUGCAAAGAUGUAAGGGCUGGCAUUCAGUCGUUCAGCAUGCAGCACUCUCUGCUUUGAAGGACCUACACUGGC
rnacentral:lncRNA from 1 species